rnacentral:rRNA from 1 species
UACGGGGGGGGCAAGCGUUGUUCGGAAUUACUGGGCGUAAAGGGCGCGUAGGCGGCCUUCUAAGUCGAACGUGAAAUCCCCGGGCUCAACCCGGGAACUGCGUCCGAGACUGGAAGGCUUGAAUCCGGGAGAGGGAUGUGGAAUUCCAGGUGUAGCGGUGAAAUGCGUAGAUAUCUGGAGGAACACCGGUGGCGAAGGCGGCAUCCUGGACCGGCAUUGACGCUGAGGCGCGAAAGCCAGGGGAGCAAACGGG